rnacentral:rRNA from 1 species
CCUACGGGAGGCAGCAGUGAGGAAUAUUGGUCAAUGGACGUGAGUCUGAACCAGCCAAGUAGCGUGAAGGAUGACUGCCCUAUGGGUUGUAAACUUCUUUUAUACAGGAAUAAAACGAGGCACGUGUGCCUUUUUGCAUGUACUUUAUGAAUAAGGACCGGCUAACUCCGUGCCAGCAGCCGCGGUAAUACGGAGGAUCCGAGCGUUAUCCGGAUUUAUUGGGUUUAAAGGGAGCGUAGAGGGGUUGUUAAGCCAGUUGUGAAAGGUUGCGGCUCAACCGUAAAAUUGCAAGUGAUACUGGCAGUCUUGAGUACAGUGGAGGUAGGCGGAAUUCGUGGUGUAGCGGUGAAAUGCUUAGAUAUCACGAAGAACCCCGAUUGCGAAGGCAGCAUACUAAACUGUGACUGACAUUGAUGCUCGAAGGUGUGGGUAUCAAACAGGAUUAGAUACCCUUGUAGUC